UACGGGGGGUGCGAGCGUUGUCCGGAAUCACUGGGCGUAAAGGGUGCGUAGGCGGGUCUUUUAAGUCAGGGGUGAAAUCCUGGAGCUCAACUCCAGAACUGCCUUCGAUACUGGCGAUCUUGAGUCCGGAAGAGGUGAGUGGAACUCCUAGUGUAGAGGUGGAAUUCGUAGAUAUUAGGAAGAACACCAGUGGCGAAGGCGGCUCACUGGUCCGGUACUGACGCUGAGGUGCGAAAGCGUGGGGAGCAAACAGG
rnacentral:rRNA from 1 species